GGGUUAAGUCCCGCAACGAGCGCAACCCUAGAUUAUAGUUGCCAGCAUAUAGUUGGGCACUCUAAAGUGACAGCCGGUGCAAGCCGGAGGAAGGUGGGGAUGACGUCAAAUCAUCAUGCCCCAUAUGACCUGGGCUACACACGAGCUACAAUGGAUAGAACAAAGGGUCGCGAAGCCGCGAGGUGGAGCAAAUCCCAUAUAACUAUUCUCAGUUCGGUUUGUAGGCUGCAACUCGCCUACAUGUAGCCGGAAUCGCUUGUUAUCGUGGAUCAGCUUGCCACGGUGAAUACGUUCCCGGGCCUUGUACACUCCGCC
rnacentral:rRNA from 1 species